rnacentral:rRNA from 1 species
GUAGGGAAUAUUGGACAAUGGGUGCAAGCCUGAUCCAGCCAUGCCGCGUGCAGGAAGAAAGCCUUCUGGGUUGUAAACUGCUUUUUUCAGGGGAUAAAAGGCCCGUGCGCGGGACAUUGAAAGUACCUGGAGAAUAAGCCACGGCUAACUACGUGCCAGCAGCCGCGGUAAUACGUAGGUGGCGAGCGUUGUCCGGAUUUAUUGGGUUUAAAGGGUGCGUAGGCGGCUCAUUAAGUCAGUUGUGAAAUACGACAGCUUAACUGUCGAGGUGCAAUUGAUACUGGUGAGCUUGAGUACUGAUGAGGUAGGCGGAAUGGACGGUGUAGCGGUGAAAUGCUUAGAGAUCGUCCAGAACACCGAUAGCGAAGGCAGCUUACUAAGGAGUAACUGACGCUGAGGCACGAAAGUGUGGGGAUCAAACAGGAUUAGAUACCCGUGUAGUCC